GUGUGGAGAGGGUGCUUGCCCUCUCUGCAGCCCGCGUCUUAAAAUGGGAGUAGGAACAAGCGCCUCAAUCGUGGUUCUGAGGAUUAAGUGAAACUCAGAUUUCAUAAGACCCCCUUUUUAAGACCAGAGCGAAGGCAAAUGUGUAUUAUUUGGUAGCUUCUGAGCAGCAAGGAAAAACUGACUCGCAACCCCCAAAGCAAGAAGUGAAGCCGUAACCACUAGAACUCUCACAUUGACAUGUUCCUGACUAGCGAAUGUCUAGGCAUCAAACAUCUGCCUUCUUACAGCUAUGUUUUAUUAUUACGUAAACACGGCUACAAGAUUUCUGACAUAAAAUAGUAGAUGACUCAGUGUCUUCAAAUGAUUAA